CUCACAGCAUUACUAAACACUUCCUGUCAUCUAAUGUUUACACUUUAUUUACCUUUAUUUCAAAUUCUAUUUAAUUUAGCAUUUCUUAUCUCCUGCUCUGUUAAUAGCUUGCUAGACCUUGAAUGAGCCGCCUCUAUGUAAAUAAAGUUAAAUUUACAGAGCAGGAGAUAUAAUCUUUUAAAUUAAAGGUACAUUAUAGUCUCCAAUCCAACUACAGUUUAAUGUAGUUCUGGUGAGUAGAAUCAUUCCCUUCAGCCUUUUUGCAGUAAACACUGUCUUUUCAGUGAAAAAGCAGUGUUUACAUUACAGAGUAGGGACACCUCUAGUGGCCACUCCUCAGAUGGCUUCUAGAGUAGCUUACUGCACAAUGGCAUUUAACAUCUCCAUCCUCUGCAUGGAGACACUGAACUUUCCUCAUAGAGAUGCAUCUCUAUGAAGAGAUACUGAUUAGGUAGGGCUGCAUUUGGCUCCACCCCUUGUG